UUAUAUUCUUUCUGUUGUCGUGAAUACUUUCCUCGAUCAUUCAACGACCCAAAUCAUGUAAGUUUCUUGGUUACAGAUCUCGCUCUCUUCGUCUCUCUGUCCCUGCGUCGUAUCGGAUAGUCGUUACGGUUCCGAAACUUCGGGUACCAUGUCGGGAAGAAGCCUCGGCGGGAUACCGGAAGUGGAAGCGAUACUUGUUGGGGUAGAUCUCGUCUCAGCUGCCAGGCGAAAUAUCGCGUUCUUGAGGAUUGUUGCUGAUACUCGGUGGCUUCAUGAGAAAGCGACAGUUGUUGAAGCUAUAAGAAGGUACAAUGAGCUGUGGAUGCCGUUGGUUUCUGAUCUGACGGUGGUGGGGUCAACGCCUCCUUUGGUCCUUCCUCCUCUUGAUGUCGAGUGGGUUUGGUUUUGCCACACUUUGAACCCGGUGAGUUACAGGCAAUAUUGCGAGCUAAGGUUCUCAAAACUCAUUGGUAAACCGGCGAUUUUUAAUGAAGGGAACGAAGAGUAUGCAUUGAUAAGAUGCAAAGAAAUUUGGAGUCGUAAAUACCCAUCUGAGCCAUUCGAGAAUGAAACCGAUUUAGAUGUGCGAACCCCAGCUGUCACAGACGAAGAGUUAUUGGCGGAAGUCACAAAACAUAGAUUCUUGUAUUCCAAGUUUUCAGAGGCAUAUAGGUCUGAAAUUGUGUACUUAAUUGCAGCAAGGCAGAGGUAUAAGGGAUUUUUGCAUAUGGUGCAGAGAUUUUCUGAUGAGUGUUCUCGUUUCGUGCCUGCAUCAGACAUCCUACUAAUGUGGCUGACACAUCAGAGCUACCCAACACUAUACGCAGAGGACUUGAAGGAAAUGGAGGGUGAUAUGGGGAAGGUGGUGACUGUGUGGGAAAGUGUGAAGGAAAAAGAGGUGAAAGAGACAAAGAUGUUGUGGGAGACGGCAUUUGAUCAGCCAUAUGGAAAAGCUGGUGGAGAGAUAGCCUUGAAAUCGGAGACAACUGCCUCAGUCAAAUCGCCAGUUCACUGGGAGGUUUCUGAUACAGAUGUUAACACCAAGUACAAGUCCAUGCUACCUAGGUUUUUACUUGAGGUCUGUUUGUUUGUAAAGCUUAACUUGGCCACGCAACAGAAUGUUACAUGGGAAUUUCUUCGUCUUAGAAUGUUAAGAGGUCACAAGGAAUUGAAGCUUGAUAAAAGCAAGUCCAACUUCCACUAUGAUUCUUGGCACAAGUCUUGGAAUCUCUGUUGUGAGUUUGGAACCAAGGGAGUCGUACUUGAGAUUUUUCGCCAAGGUGGCCACUGCUUUAAAGGAAGUAGCCUGCAAGGGACUGUUACAUUCCAUUGGAAUGAAUUAUUAAGAGCACCCUCUCUAACUUUGGAACGAGAAGUCUCUCAACAAGUUAGAAUCGCUGCUUCAAUUACUCCACCAGUUCAAGCACCAUACUUGUUGAAAUGUGUCCCUGACAGAGUCACGGAUGAUUCAGGGGCAAUGAUAUCCGACUUGAUUCUCAGAAUGAAUAGGUAUCGGCCUCAAGAAGGCCGUUGGUUGUCAAGAACUGUUCUUGAUCAUGCAAGAAGAGAGUGUUUUGUUGUGCGAAUGAGGGUGGGAGGAGGGUUUUGGAGAAGGGGAGGUGAAAUUCCCUCACCUGUGAAAUGGGAGGACAGGAUUAUUGAGAUACGUGAAGGUUCAUGGUCUUAUGUUGCUGGUUCCAUUGGUAGAGCUCCUGUACAGAGAAAGUGAUUGCAACGGCAACACCAAAAGAACCACCAGAACAAUGGAAAGCUGCAUGGAACUUUUCAACAGGAGAUGAACUAAUGAUUGGGUGGGAAUCAUCUACAUCUAUAUCAAGCCUGUGUUUCUACCUGGGAAAUCAAGCAUCUCCUGAAUCCUCAGUGAAGCUCUUGAAAGGGCGAAAAAUGCAGUAUCAGUUGAAGAACAUCAAGUCAGAGAGCAAAGACAAAGAAAUCCAAAAUCAAAAUGAGGAAGACAAAGAUGAAGAGGAGGAAGGGUUUGUAACGAUUGUUAGGUUCACGGAGGAAAACCCAACUGGAAGAGCAACGGUUCUUUUAAAUUGGAAGCUAUUGGUGGUUGAAUUGUUGGCUGAAGAGGAUGCAGCAUUGGCCCUUCUUCUAUGUCUUUCAAUACUCGUAAGUGUAUCGAAGAUGAAAAAGGAAGAUCUGGGGUGCUUAUUAACUAGGAGAAGAUUAAACGAGGCAAAGCUUGGAGCUAGAGAUUGGGGUUCUGUAACACUUCAUCCUUCUUCAUAUUCCUCCUCUAUUUCUUCACCUUAUCUUCAACCUUGGUACUGGAAUGCCAAGGCAGUACUGAUGGGAACAGAUGGAGCUGAUCUCAUCACAAGGCAACCAGCUCUGAAUUACUCACCUGUGGAAGGAAGUGAUGACUUGUACAAGCGAUGGAUUUUAACAUGAGAAGAUGAAUUUAUAUUUUAAUUGUAUCAGUAAUUUUACAUUAAUGAAUAAAAUCCAUACAGAUUUUCGCAUUGAUUUGCUUGCAA